rnacentral:rRNA from 1 species
GGGAAUAUACCCUUUGGUACGGAAUAGCCUCUGGAAACGGAGAGUAAUACCGUAUGAGCCCUUCGGGGGAAAGAUUUAUCGCCAAAGGAUUAGCCCGCGUUAGAUUAGGUAGUUGGUGGGGUAAUGGCCUACCAAGCCUACGAUCUAUAGCUGGUUUUAGAGGAUGAUCAGCAACACUGGGACUGAGACACGGCCCAGACUCCUACGGGAGGCAGCAGUGGGGAAUCUUGGACAAUGGGGGCAACCCUGAUCCAGCCAUGCCGCGUGAGUGAUGAAGGCCUUAGGGUCGUAAAGCUCUUUCGCCUGUGAAGAUAAUGACGGUAGCAGGUAAAGAAACCCCGGCUAACUCCGUGCCAGCAGCCGCGGUAAUACGGAGGGGGUUAGCGUUGUUCGGAAUUACUGGGCGUAAAGCGCACGUAGGCGGACUGGAAAGUUGGGGGUGAAAUCCCGGGGCUCAACCCCGGAACUGCCUCCAAAACUAUCAGUCUAGAGUUCNAGAGAGGUGAGUGG